rnacentral:rRNA from 1 species
AGUGGCGGACGGGUGAGUAAUGUCUGGGAAGCUGCCUGAUGGAGGGGGAUAACUACUGGAAACGGUAGCUAAUACCGCAUAAUGUCGCAAGACCAAAGAGGGGGACCUUCGGGCCUCUUGCCAUCGGAUGUGCCCAGAUGGGAUUAGCUUGUUGGUGGGGUAACGGCUCACCAAGGCGACGAUCCCUAGCUGGUCUGAGAGGAUGGCCAGCCACACUGGAACUGAGACAUGGUCCAGACUCCUACGGGAGGCAGCAGUGGGGAAUAUUGCACAAUGGGCGCAAGCCUGAUGCAGCCAUGCCGCGUGUAUGAAGAAGGCCUUCGGGUUGUAAAGUACUUUCAGCGGGGAGGAAGGGAGCAAAGUUAAUACCUUUGCUCAUUGACGUUACCCGCAGAAGAAGCACCGGCUAACUCCGUGCCAGCAGCCGCGGUAAUACGGAGGGUGCAAGCGUUAAUCGGAAUUACUGGGCGUAAAGCGCACGCAGGCGGUUUGUUAAGUCAGAUGUGAAAUCCCCGGGCUCAACCUGGGAACUGCAUCUGAUACUGGCAAGCUUGAGUCUCGUAGAGGGGGGUAGAAUUCCAGGUGUAGCGGUGAAAUGCGUAGAGAUCUGGAGGAAUACCGGUGGCGAAGGCGGCCCCCUGGACGAAGACUGACGCUCAGGUGCGAAAGCGUGUGGAGCAAACAGGAUUAGAUACCCUGGUAGUCCACGCCGUACACGAUGUCGACUUUGGAG